UACAGAGGUCUCAAGCGUUGUUCGGAUUCAUUGGGCGUAAAGGGUGCGUAGGUGGCGAGGUUAGUCAGGUGUGAAAUCUCGGGGCUCAACCCCGAAACUGCACUUGAUACUGCCUUGCUAGAGUACUGGAGAGGAGAUCGGAAUUUACGGUGUAGCAGUGAAAUGCGUAGAUAUCGUAAGGAAGACCAGUGGCGAAGGCGAAUCUCUGGACAGUUACUGACACUGAGGCACGAAGGCCAGGGGAGCAAACGGG
rnacentral:rRNA from 1 species